GAUGAACGCUGGCGGCGUGCCUAAUACAUGCAAGUCGAGCGAACGGACGAGAAGCUUGCUUCUCUGAUGUUAGCGGCGGACGGGUGAGUAACACGUGGAUAACCUACCUAUAAGACUGGGAUAACUUCGGGAAACCGGAGCUAAUACCGGAUAAUAUUUUGAACCGCAUGGUUCAAAAGUGAAAGACGGUCUUGCUGUCACUUAUAGAUGGAUCCGCGUGGCAUUAGCUAGUUGGUAAGGUAACGGCUUACCAAGGCAACGAUGCAUAGCCGACCUGAGAGGGUGAUCGGCCACACUGGAACUGAGACACGGUCCAGACUCCUACGGGAGGCAGCAGUAGGGAAUCUUCCGCAAUGGGCGAAAGCCUGACGGAGCAACGCCGCGUGAGUGAUGAAGGUCUUCGGAUCGUAAAACUCUGUUAUUAGGGAAGAACAUAUGUGUAAGUAACUGUGCACAUCUUGACGGUACCUAAUCAGAAAGCCACGGCUAACUACGUG
rnacentral:rRNA from 1 species